rnacentral:lncRNA from 10 species
CACGCGCGCUCGCCCACUAUUCAGACGAGCUCUCUCAGGUCCUUCCUGAUUGGAUCUCUGCCAGAGAGGGCUGAAGGCGUCAGCCAAUUGAGAGGAGGUUCUUAAUGAAUUAUUGAUGACGGAGUCAUUCUAGAGGACUGGGCGGGGAGAUGGUGUCUUCCCGGCCGGGUGGCACUGACCGGUCAUGCUCAGGGCCCCCUUCUGGUUGCCGGUGCCUCACCUCUGGCCAGGUGGCAUCGGCUUCCGGGUAAAUCUGAGCUGCCCAAAGCGAGCCUCCGGAGGCUGCUCCAUCUCCUGGAACGUUUACUCAUUCAGGCCUCUGGACGUCGAUACUGGGGAUGAAAAGUUCAGAAAGUGGACAGGCAGGUUCUGUCUUCCCGGGGGCGGGUGGUUAUGACUCCGUUUUACAGGCCAAGAGACCCAGGCUCACGGGCAUAAUUGACACAAUCUUGAGGGGAAGUGGACUGGAAUCUAUUUGAGUAGCCGUUUCUCCUACUUCUCCACAUUGCCCUCACUAAAUUCUGGAUCAGCUAAAGGCUUUUUCCCCUUAGUUUUCUUUAUGUGUUUUUCUGUAAAGCCGAAAAUUUAGUCAUUACUCUCAUUAUUACAUUAUCCUCAUUAUUACAACUUUAUUUCCACAUAUUGACAUGUGAGUCAUUGUCACCUCCUAGCUGUUUUUUGUUGUUGUUGUUGUUUUCUGAGACGGAGUCUCGCUCUGUCGCCCAGGCUGGAGUGCAGUGGCACGAUCUCGGCUCACUGCAACCUCCGCUUCCCGGGUUCAAGCAAUUUUCCUGUCUCAGCCUCCUGAGUAGCUGGGACUACAGGCGCUCACCACCAUGCCCAGCUAAUUUUUGUAUUUUUAGUAGAGAUGGGGUUUCACCAUAUUGGUAAGGCUGGUCUUGAACUCCUGACCUCAGAUGAUCCGCCUGCCUUGGCCUCCCAAAGUAUUGGGAUUAUAGGCGUGAGCCACCGCCCCUGGCCUGUUUCUUUUCUAGGUUAAAAGGAUACUCACUUAUCUAAGUUGAGAUUGGGGGAAAUAAUCACCUUUUGUGUCCUUGAUUGUAGCUUAGGAAUAUUUCUUAGUUGUUUUAGAGCAUUUCUCAAGUGUGAUCCAUGGGGCCACCUGCAUAUAUGCAUUUAUGAGCUGGGAUGCUUGUUAAAAUGCAGAUUCCUGGUCUUCAGUCCAGACCUACUGAGUUAAAAUAUUGAGGAGAGAUGGAGCUCAACAGAUGCCCUAGGUGACUCUGAUGUGGCCUAAGUCUGGGGAAACAGUACACCCUGCAGUACUUCUCCAACCUAACAGAAAUGCGGAUUCUGAUUCGCAAUGUUUCCUGAAAUAUACCUGAGCUUGGAACAGCAUGGAUCUGUACGAGCUGGUGCCCCACUAGUUGAUGACAUGGCUUCAUGAAAACAGAGGAGCACCUCACCACUAGAAGAGACCCUUGCAGUAGGAAACAAAGCUGCAUGAGAAAAGGUGGGAUGGGAUGGAAACGGCCUACUCACUCCCCCAGGAGUGGAGAGGAGGAAGCCUGAAGGGAUGAGGGCAGGGUUAUGCAUAUUUUGCAGCAUCAGAUAAUGAAAGCAGAUGAGUCAGCAGCAUUCACCCACAUGGCCAUUUUAUU